GAUAGCGAAGUGGGAUUCCCAAGACUCCACGCGCAGAUUCAUAUUUCGACUGCGUUUUGUGUUCAUAUCCAUGCGUCUCUCUAGUAGUCGUCGACCUCCGAUAAAUAUUGAAAAACGAUGUUGAUUUGGUCAGAUCGGCGACGUUUGUCUCCAUCUGGUUUUCAUAUGGUCUUCAGUUUUUUGGUCAAGCAAAGCCCAACUGUCUUGCCGUAUUCACCUGACCAAUUCCAGUUCUCAUCUCUAAGGAGUAUACUAUCGCCAGCAAUAGAUGCUCGUAACGUAGAGUCGUACAUGUCGGAAAGCGGGCGACGAAAACAUAUGUAAAACGAAUAAUGAGAACGUCCUUCGAUGUCGUUCGUGGACACUCGUUUGAAGUUAAAGAAACUCAGUUCCUAUGUUAUGCUCAUCUUUUUCUUCAAAGUAUACAUAAGACCGCCGACACGAUGGGUUUGGCUAGAUGAACUAGGCUAAGUUGAAAUUAAAGAAUUGAAGAGAGAGAGAGAGAUCUGGUGAGGAUUGUCGCCCCUCGACGGAGAUCAACAAGGGUUGCGGCCCUUACUUGGGCUUCGUGGGGAGGGCACGACCCCUGCUUCAAAUUUGAGCAGGGCUUGCAAUCCUCACCAUCUUUUUUUAUGAUGGGUGGCGUCUCUUAUCUUUUUCUUGGACUUCAUUUGUUUUGCGGAAAAUGAAUAAUUAAGAGAAAAAUGAUUACUUGUAUCGGUUAAAAUAAUUACUCGACGAAAGAAAGCAGUGUUUUACAUGAGCUUGUUGAUGCCAGUACAUCUCUUCUUGUAACCACUACUCAUCUAACUUUGGAAGUAACCUCCUGCAUGUCAGCCUCUGGAGCAUAUCACCAUCCUGCAAGUUCUUGGAAACAGACUUCUCCAUGCAACAGUAGCUAGGCCUCUCAAUCCAACCUUUUCCUCUAUGAUCCCAUCCUCCAUAUCAUUACACCAGAGCCAAGGAUGGAGCCGCUAUUUGCAUUAAAGCUUGCCAAUUCUCUUGCUUCUCACGGACAUCAGGGUUGCCAUAGUUCCAGGAUACUCUAAUCUCCCUUCCCCAUUCUUCAAAGCCACUUCAAUUUGGAAAGAAACAAUGGCCCUAUCCUUUUAUUCCAUCCAGCUGGUCCUCCUCGCCAGGAAACUGAACCAGAUACCAGUUCCUCUGCCCUCCUCCUCCUUAUGACUCCCAGGUUUACUAGGAUCGGUACGGAUGGAUUGAAUGGAUUCAGAAACAUCAGGUGAAGGGUCAUCAGCGGAGUGAUUAGUAACAUGAGAUUCAGUGAAAGAACCACUAGGAUCGGGUUGUGUAGGGACUGCUUUGUUUGUAUUGAUGUGUGUGGUAUAUUGUGUCCAGGGCUGUUCGGGGUUUGUAUGAUGGAAGGAUGAGAAGGGUUGGUAUCAGGCUGAUAUGUGUAGGAAGUAUCAUGCAAAAGGGACGUUUGUGGAUUGUAAGAUAGGAGGGUCAGUAAGGUUGGACUCAGGGUAUGAAGGCCUCUUCGUGUUUCUUUUAUCUCUUCUAGCAAAACUGGCAUCUUUCCCCCCCAUUCUAUUAGCUCGCAAACCAGGACCAUGGUGCUGUCCAACAUCAAGCAGCUGACAAGCAAUCUAAGCAUGCCCCAAUCUUCCACAGUUAUAACAAAAAUCAGUUACUUGGUUCGUAUUUAAAUCGAUCCGAUAUUAAUCACCUUCAGUAGACAGAUCCCCAAGCCAGGUUCGGAGGAAAACAAAUAUCAAUCUCCACCUUAAUUCGCAAAAAAAAACUCCUCCUACCCCCAAGUCCUCCACACUGAUCUUCAACAUCCACGACUCUUGCCAAAAUCACCAAUUCUUCUAGCAUUCCCCGACUUCAUUUGAUUUGGAGCUAAACCAUAUAUUUGUAUAUGGAAUGCAGCAUAAUCAAAACAUAGAUCCUCCAACCUUCUCUUCUCAUCCCAAGCCUUCAGCACAAGGCAGUAUUUUAUAACAGACCAUGGACUAACAUUUAAAACACUGUCUGCAUACCUUUACGAGACACAAAAGUAAACAGGAAUUCAUUAUCUCCAACGUCAGCAAUGGAGAAAUAACCCAUAUCAGGAUAUCAGCCCAAGCCUUCUUGAGGACAUUGUGCACUGCUGUUUUAUCCAAUAGACACGAGGCUAUCAUCUCUUCAGCAUCCAACCAACAGGAUUUAUCAGAUUCACCGUCUCUAGCUCAAAACUGAGUCGUCUGCCUCUUCUACUUGGAAAGACUUAGAUUUGUAUUAGCCAUCAACCACUCAUAGGAACAAAAGCCCUGCAAAUGAAGAUGGGAAACUAUGCGAGAAUGACGAACAGAGUUAAGAGAGUGAAAGAGAAAAAAUGCCGAUUGUAGAUCAAAUGUCACAAUUGAGAAUGAUCCAUUGAAGGAGAAAUGUAACAGUGAGGAGACUAAGCUAGGAAAAUGUAACAGGGGGCGAAUGGAGAAGAUCAGAGAUGCCAAAGAUCGAAUGUAAUCAAAGAUCGGACCUAGAAAGAAAUGGGGAUGAUCAGAAGUGACAGGAUUGAAGAUCGGACAAAACCGCUCUAAACUGAGCGCCAAGCAUACUAUGCCUCGAGUCCAGUUUCAUUCUCUGAACGUUUCUUUCACUAUUCUAUAGACUUAGAAGCCUUAAAACAUAUUCAUAUAACUCCCGCCCAAAAUAACCCAAUGCGGGAGGUGUAUUUCGAUAGAUCAUCAGAUUCAAUGGCGCUCUAACAAUUGGGCUGCGUUUCGUAA